rnacentral:misc_RNA from 1 species
AACGCAAGUUGCGCCUGAAGCCUUUUGGCCAAGGCACGUCUGCCUGGGAGUCACGCAUAGCGUCUCUCCCCACCUCCAAAGUGUGGAGGGGAGAGGAAGAUGGCCUCCCAUGCCUCACCGGGUGUGGAUGGCCUAAAUUAGGAAGCCUCGGGAUACGAGAUGCCGCGGCGAUUGGUGGUUGUAUACAUGGCCUUCCCUCGUGUCGUGCAUCACGUAGCCCAUGGGGCCUCGUAGGACCCUUAAAAACCUUUGCGACCCCAGGUCAGGCGGGGUUACCCGCUGAGUUUAA